GGGGAUGACCGGUUUUGACAGCGUGUAGAGGUGGUAUGUAAGCAUGCAGAGCAAUGAUGGCUACGCUCUCUAAUCUGGGACAUCAAAUUUUUUAAAUGGCGAAAAUUCUUACGCUCUUGCUGCCUAGUCGAAGUAUAGUAAACUUGGCUUAAUCUCCGCAACAGUUGCAGAGACAAGACAUCGCCCGAUUGUCGUAGUCCCGAGACUAAUCGAACAGGCGGUGCAGGUAAAUCGGGAAUAGGAUUCACUUCUCCUUGCGGUGUUUCCGAAAUUUUAGAGGAUAAGGGUGCUAUUGGUUGUCUUUUGCCUGUGACACUUCGAAAAACAAGUAAAGAAUAAGCAUGUAGAAAGCAUAUUAGUUCCACGUUUGGACGAGGGUUCAAGUCCCUCCAUCUCCAC
rnacentral:tmRNA from 1 species